GAUAGAGUUUGUGUAGUGACCCGGGUCGAACCCGAUCCUUUUUACCUUUCCAUUUGGAUUGUGUUUGUUUUGGGUUGACUUUCACCUUGUCUUGUUAAGUUGUGGCUUUAGAACACCUUGGGUUGUCUUUAGAAAAUCAAAAUAGAAAUCUGCCUGAAGUCUGUUAACGCUCAUGGUCAUGGGAAUUGUGCCCGUAACCAAAAAUCACUACCAAUACUUUGUUUGCAGAAUUCCCUGGUGCUCGCAAGCUUGCCCGCGACUAUGUCAAUUGCACCCGCGAUGGUCCUUUUAUUUAAGACAUUAGUUUGCGUGAACCUUUUUUUUUUUUUUCCUGCUUUUCUCUCUCUUAUUCUCUCUCUUUUCGCCAUAACUGAGCUUUCAAGCUCUUUAACCUUUGGUUUCAUCUACCUAGGGUCAAAAUCUCACUCUAGUUCUUUAUACCAAAAUGUAGAGCUCGAUGAGAGCUUUCUUUUGAGCUGAUUAGAUCGUGAUUUCAUCGAUGUCGAUUUUUUGGUCUUUUUCUCUUCGCUUUAAGAGGUGCAAGUUAGAGGAGUUACUCAAGGCUACAGAGUCUCUUAUUGUUGGCCACGGGUCCUCAUACUUGCAGGUGGGAUGCUAAUUUGUUGGAAAGAGGGUUAACACCUCUUAUUUCAUUGUGUUUUAAUUUCUUCAAUGUAAACCUAAGGGCAUCAGUUGUAAACAAUUGUAUUUGGAUAUGUCAUCAUAGUAUACACGAGAGAGCAUUUAUUGCUUAUUUAUUUA